rnacentral:rRNA from 1 species
UACGAAGGGGGCGAGCGUUGUUCGGAAUUACUGGGCGUAAAGGGCGCGUAGGCGGCCGAUCAAGUCAGAUGUGAAAGUCCUGGGCUUAACCUGGGGACUGCAUUUGAUACUGAUUGGCUUGAAUUCGGGAGAGGAUAGCGGAAUUCCCAGUGUAGAGGUGAAAUUCGUAGAUAUUGGGAAGAACACCGGUGGCGAAGGCGGCUAUCUGGACCGACAUUGACGCUGAUGGCGCGAAAAGCGUGGGGAGCAAACAGG